GACGAACGCUGGCGGCGUGCCUAAUACAUGCAAGUCGAGCGGGGAUUAUGCUUGAUCGCUUCGGUGAGACGGCAUAUAUCCUAGCGGCGGACGGGUGAGUAACGCGUGGGUAAUCUACCUCGUAGUUCGGGAUAACAGGCCGAAAGGCUUGCUAAUACCGGAUGAGUUCAUGCUUAUGCAUAUAGGCAUGAAGAAAGGGCUAGCCCGCUAUGAGAUGAGCCCGCGUCCCAUUAGCUUGUUGGUGGGGUAAUGGCCUACCAAGGCAACGAUGGGUAGCCGGCCUGAGAGGGUGUACGGCCACACUGGGACUGAGACACGGCCCAGACUCCUACGGGGGGCAAGCAGUAGGGAAUUUUCGGCAAUGGGCGAAAGCCUGACCGAGCGACGCCGCGUGAGGGACGAAGGCCUUCGGUUGUAAACCUCUGUCGUGGGGGAUGAGAACGGACGGUACCCCGGACGGAACGCCCGGCUAACUACGUCGCCAGCAGCCGCGGUAAACCACUGUACAGUCUA
rnacentral:rRNA from 1 species